AAAGUGGGGAGGAGGAAAAGGAGCGGAGCGGGCGAGGAAAGCGACACGAACCCUACGUCCCGUGCCGAGAGAGACACCGGAGUCCCCGCCAUCACCUUCCGCGCUCCCCACGCCAACGCUCGGGUUUCACUCGCCGCAGGAAAGGAGGCGGUGCAGGCGCGGGGGAGGAGCUGAGAAAGGGAGGGAUGUGGAUUAAAAAACUGCUUUUGAAUGAAGAAACUUUAUUUGGGGCCCGUAGAAGAGAAAAACAAUGGCCGAGGACGCGGAGAUCUUCCGGGGAGGAAGGCGGGGACAGCUGAGGGCGACGAGAGAAGCGGAAUAAGGAAGUGGGCGGAAGGCGGAAGCAACCAGGGACCGGGACGUCGCAGGGACCAGGGAGCGGAUAAGGUCGCGGCAGCACGGGUCACGUGCUCCGACGGUCACGUGGACCAGGCGGCUUACGCUCCGCUGGGCCAGGAGUCCUGUGCGCCUGCGCAAUGUCGGGCGCUGGGCGGGGCGCUGGGUCGGUGUUGGGACUGGCUGCGGGAGCGCAGGACUGCAGCCGGUACUCUGUCUCUUGCCUGCGGCGGAGGCGCAGGAGCGUGCGCCUUUGGCGCGUCUGUCUUUUCUUCCCGCGGAGAGCUUGAGAUGUGGUAAUGCCAGCCAGACUUCUCAGGUCCUUGGCCAGAUCUCACUAUAUUUUAUCAGAAGCGUGUCAGUGCCAAAGACUUGUUCAUCGAACAUUAAAACCACUUAAGGAAUUUGAGACCACAACAUGCAACACCCUGACAAGAAGUCAGAACGUGAAUUUGUUCUUUCCUGAUACAGCAGCUGUUGGUUUGAAUAAGUCCCAGGUCCUGGAAAUGAACCGGAAAAUAUCAAAUACAAAUGUACUCCCUCCAUUAAACACCGCACGUUACCAAGAUGAAAAAGAGCACCUUCCAACCAGGAACUCCCUUGGUACUCAUAGGAAAGUGAUUCACAAACCAAAUCUGUUAGGUUUUAAGUGGUUUAUAAAAAUACUGAAGAGACAUUCCUCAUCUGUGUCAACGGAAACACUUGUUUCUAAACAAGACUUUCCGCAAAUCAAGAGACCACUGAAAGCAUCAAGGACCAGGCAGCCAUCCAGGACCAACCUUCCAGUUCUGCCUGUGAACAAGGACCUGAUGCGCUGUACUGCGUUUGCAACCGCAGAUGAAUACCAUCUUGGAAGUCUCUCUCAAGAUCUGACCUCCCAUGGAUAUGUUGAAGUAACAAGCUUGCCUAGAGAUGCAGCAAAUAUUUUGGUGAUAGGUAUGGAAAAUGCUGCAAAAGAAGGUGAUCCUGGAACAAUAUUCUUCUUCAGGGAAGGAGCUGCUGUCUUCUGGAAUGUGAAAGACAAAACUAUGAAGCAUGUGAUGAAAGUUCUUGAAAAACAUGAAAUUCACCCCUAUGAAAUUGCAUUGGUGCACUGGGAGAAUGAAGAGCUUAACUACUCAAAAACAGAGGGACAGUCAAAACUUCACAGAGGGGAAAUCAGGUUAAAUUCAGAGCUAGAUUUAGAUGACGCCAUUCUAGAGAAAUUUGCUUUCUCAAAUGCUCUUUGCCUUUCAGUGAAACUGGCUAUCUGGGAAGCAGCACUGGAUAAAUUUGUUGAAUCUAUUCAGUCGAUUCCAGAGGCUUUAAAAGCUGGGAAGAAAGUGAAACUAUCUCAUGAAGAAGUUAUGCAGAAAAUGGGUGAACUCUUUGCCUUAAGUUACUUGCCCUGGAGAGAAGUGGUCCAGUGUUGCGUCAUCUAGGCCCUUCUCAAAGCUCAGGGACCCUAACUCAGGGCACCAACAAAAAUAAAAAGCCCUGCAUGAAAGCGUCCCACAGCACAUCUAAAGCCCUUGAGCUCGCUAAGAAAUGGGGGAGACAGACUCCUCUCCCCUCUUCUCUUGGUCAUGCGAGCAGAACUUGAUAUAGCGAAUUAUAAUACUAGGACUCAGAAAUUAGGACCUGAUAUACUUAGACACCAUAUAAACUUGAGUUCAGACUUCUUGAUCACUCCUGAUUUCUACUGGGACAGAGAAAAUCUGGAAGAACUUUAUGAUAAAACUUGUCAGUUCCUCAGCA